rnacentral:misc_RNA from 1 species
GGAUAGCAUAAAUCUGCCAAGAUCUUGAGGAAUUUGCCACCAUCAGUGCGAGAUGCAAUGAGCGUCAAAACCACAGGAACAAGUACCGAGCAUAGCUGAGAGGGACCUGGUGCUAGGAAGAUGGCAAAUGUGUAACCCAUUCCAGUCACACAAUACACAAGGCACAGUAACACCACAUAAUUAUCUGCGAAAGAAGAUCUUGGGUUGCAGAAAAA